rnacentral:misc_RNA from 1 species
GUUCUUCCUUGUAAUGAGAAUGACAAGCAAGGAAAAGUACAUCAUCCAUUUCGGAGAACAUCCUUCUUACAUUUAGACUCAAGUUCUGCACAGCAUGAUUCCAGUGGUUCUGAGUAUUGCUUUCCACAGCUGGGAAUAUAAUCGGGAGAAUCACGUGCCGGUUAUGUGCAAUCAAAUUGACAAUUUGGUCAUUAUUCCAAAGGAAGAGAGCCCUUUCAGCAACCUGAAAAUGGUAACUAUUGAUGCAGCAACCGAUCCGCCAGAACAAGGGAACCAUCACUUUUUGGAACUCAGCCAUGUUAAUAACUUCCAAAAUUUCUUCCAGCUCACUCAAAAACAUCACCUCCUUUUGGGUGCUUGUGAUAGGCCAGUACUUCAACAAACCCCUAAUCACAGUGCUAGCCAAUUUGGGAUCUUU